GAGUUGCUGGCUCAGGUUGGUUAAAAGAUACCAGGGGUCAGUUUCUGACCUGGGCUGGUUGGUGUAAAUCCAGAGCAACUCCACUGACAGAGAUAAGAGCUAGGCUCUGAGCUUUCCCAUGAUACAUGCUCUGGGUACGUCAGCUUUCCCAUGAUACGUGCUUUGGGUCUGUCAGCUUUCCCUUGUUUUGUGCUAAGGGUAAUUAAGCUAUUGCUACAGCAAUAGCACAUCAGGGAGAUGCCACUUGCCCAGGGCAGGGCUCUGCUACUGGAACAGGUUUCACUUUGGGCCUGGCCACUGAUUCACUGCCCAGCCCUCAGCAAGUCUCUUAAUAACACCUGCAACAUAUGGGCUUUAUAAAGGAAAGGUGUCAGUCAAUCAUCCCCGCCUGAACACAAGUGAAGGGGCAGGUAGGAUGCUAAUUAGCUGCUGCCGUUCCACACAAUAGGGAGAAACCCUCUGGGUCCCUUCCCCAUAUUACAGCUUGAGCGGCCCAAGUGGUUGUUUCAGGGCAGAACAGAGAUGAAGUCACAAGCCUGUGCCUCAGGGCUUGUAUUUGGGGAAUUUAGACCCAGGCAAAAUCCCCCUGCUUCAGCAGAACUGGCUGGAGCUUGAGUAGCACCCAGCUGCUUCCAUCAGCACUGGUUGCAUUUGCUUUUUCAGCAGGGUUAAUUGACAUGACUACAAGGACCUCACCCACAGAAGCCCUGUCUGCAUUAUGGCUCCUAGAUCAGCUAAGCCAGUGAUGGGUUUGGUAGGAUUCACUUGAUAAAUGCUCCUGCUGUAGGGUCUCACAGAUUGUGAUCAGGGGCAGUGUUUAGCUGGAGCAUUUUGAGCCCCUUGGGCCUGGCAGUGAGGACAGAAUUAAAUGCCUGUAGGACCAAGUAACUGAUGAAUUCAAUACAGUGCUACUGGUCUGGAUAGGCUCUUUCUGGGGCAGAUGCUGCUGCUAUAACAGCUGAGCAGGAGGGAGUGCUUUGGUAGGGAAAUUCUGCUAGGCUCUUUCCCUGGGAGAAGUCCUACAGGUCCUUGCUGUCCAUGUACAGCAAACAGAGCUGUGGUUUGUAUCCAUAAGAAGAGCUGAGUGCUGUUCACCUCUGCCAGGCUGAGCCCAACAUGUGGGAGUCAGACUGUGACUUUAAUACCAGCAUGCUGCAGAGACCCCUGAGCUAGCUCUGUAUCCACUAGCUUUGCAUAGGAAGCAGCAUAAUUGCAAUGUUGUACAAAGGCAGCUCUGCACCUCCUGUUCCAGAACUGUGUGCGAUCGCGUGUAAAGCUGCAGCAUGAUGCUUGUGGGAAUGGGUAGGUUAGGGGUCAGCUACUGAGUAUGUUAGUGGUACAGCUGGGAAGAGAUAUGGGGGCCUUGACAUCCCAACCCUGUGCCCUACCCUCCAGACCAUGCGGAGGGGGUUAAGAAGAGAGGUAUUUCCAGGGCUGAACUUAACUCAUGAAAAUGCCUUUCCUCGCUGUAGAUGUCCAGCACCCAGCUCUCCUAGUCUCUAGAGCAGGGUGGAAGGAAAAAAUUCUCUGUACCUGCGGCUUCUUCCUGGGCCGGCCCCGUCCUCUCUUCUCGGAGACAUCCUUCUCCUGUUUUGAAGCCAGGGGUUGGCUGGAUUUUGCACUGGAUUCACUCAUUUUUCUAUCUUCUGGGUCAUGCAAGAGAGAAGACAGGAGGGUGCUGUACAAAAGCCACAGGAAGUGAGUUCAUCCCCCGCAGAGGGCAGUCGACAGGACAAGCCAAGUAGUUUUAACCAAGCCGCUCUACUGCUGGGCAAGCAGAGGCACAGAUGGAAGAGGUGACGCGUCCAAGGGUAUGCAGAGAGCCCAGAAGGGGCCUUAACCUCAAGGCCAACUUCUCACUCUGCUUGCACGACUCCCAGUAAAACCCCACCCAGCUACAGUGAUAAUAUUUUCUGGUUCAACUACCUCUGUUACCCCAAAUCUCUGCACCCUGUGGACUGUCCACAGCUGGAUCUUCAAUGUGUGGACAGCAAACUGCACCCUGCAGUAGCCUUUCCUAUUUUUUCAGUGGAUUCUGCCAGAAGCUAGGAAGAGAGAGGGGUCUAACAGGAACAGGCCACGCCUGUCGAGUAAAAACCUGCCUGUCCUAAUCCUGCAGCCAGUGAGGCCUCCUGUUCCUAAAAUCCUACUCUGCCCCCAGCUUUUCUCAGCUGACUGAAAAAUGCCACUUUGCCGCAGCUCGCGCACAAUUCCCGGUGCCCUCUCCAAGGAUGGUCAUCGUGGACCUGGUCAGAGCAAGGCUCCACCAAGAAGCUGCUUUCUAUCCCCCUGGCACCAGGUAGGAGUUUGCAGGACAGCGGGGAGCUGACACCAGAUUGCCGGAUUUGUGGCCUGCUGUUAUCACCGUUAUUUCACACGACCGAAGCCAGCAGUGACUCCAGCGCCAACCAAGAGCAAGAUCGGGCCCGCUAUGCCCACGUCUUAAAACUUCUUUUCAUCUCGUUGAGGUGCCAGCUGAUGGGGCCAAAGAAGCUCAGGCAGUCCAUAACUUUGACCAUCCCAUGCACCUUUGGUUUGACCCAUGGCCUUGAUUUCACAAAGAUGCCCAGCAGGCCCUCUGUGCGCCAGAAGUUGGAAGCUUUAAUGUACUAUCACGCAUACGUUUUUAUAGAUUAAGCCAAAAAGAGGCCAGCUAUUUAGCUUAGUGAUUCUCAACCGGGGUGCAGUAGCUCUCUGAGGUGCCUUGGGAUCCUUUCAAGAGUGCUUUGGGGUGGGCAAACGUGGUAGAGCAGAUAUGCCCAGAGACCUCAAGCAGGGAUGCUUAAGUGUUUAAAACCGCUCUGCUCUGUUGUGGUCUCCCUGAGUCCUUUGCAAACAGAAGACUAGUCUCUUUCUGUAUUGAAAAAGGGUUUCCUGAGGGGGUCCUGUCUCAUGGGGUUGAGAACUGACCUUCUGCCUAACAUGGGCUGUUGGACUGCAUCCAGGCAUGCCUGCAUUCAGCCCAGAGCUAGACCAGAGGAUGGUUUAUGUCAGAGUAUCAUCAACGACCCCAAACCAGCAGGGCAUGCAUCCAUGCAUGAACACACACAGACAUGCCAAAGGGCUGCUGUCUUGCCCCACUUCCCAGCAGCUGCAGAAACAGAAAGGGGGCUUGGACCCUACUGCUCACUCCUUAAGACUGAGGCUGCCCAACUAAUAACCGCUGUCAGGCAUCUUUCGUGCCACAGCCUCCAACCCAACAGCUCAGUCACUGAAGAAACAGUGUUUAAAACCAUUGUAGCCCCCCCCCCCCCCUCCUCCAUACUGGCCUGGGACUCAAUCCGGCAAGCCCUUACAUUGAGAUGUGUGCAGAAUCAAAUCCCCAAGCUCAACCUCGGAGGUUAAAGGCUCAAUGUUCCUCCCCCUUAUUGCUCACAAGGUUUAAAAUGCCAGCUCUUUCAGAAGGUAAGUUGUUUGCCAUCAGCAUUUGGAAUAAUCCCACCUCCUAGUUGGCAGAUACCAGAACAGGUCCAAUUCAGGAAGCAUCAGCAAGCAGCUGGGAAAUGAAACCUGUGAGCAGUGAAAGGCAGAUCUCACCAAAACAACGAGCCCCUUCAGCCCCCAGACAAGACUGUCAAAAUAAAUCUGUUCCCAAACAGUUUUUUAGCCUCAGCUACAGCUGAUUGCUUGCAAAAAGUCUCCUCCAAAGGGGUGGUCUAUCUGGAAAAGCUAUUAGGAAUAAUGUAGGGUGUGAGUUUCAAGUUGAAUAAACACUCCAGGUCAAGAUGAAAAGGUCUGUCUGCACUCUAGUAAUUUUUUUUCCCCUCUUUACUAUGAAUUAAUUGAUUUGAGUAAUAGAGAUAGCUAACGCCUAGUCAAAAUGACUCCACAAACCUUUGGGACUUAUCUAAAAGCUAAAGCAUGCAGAACCCUUGGACUCCCUGCCUUCUCCUACCAACUUGGGUGAAAUGUGUCCUGCCUUAGGACCCCUGUCCUGUUUGUGUGAUAUGUGAUGCUGUCCUCUGGUACAGGACGGUGCUCAUUCUCACCUUUUUGCCCAUAUUAUGACCCCUUUCCCUUCUCCCAUUCAUCUAGAAGGAAAGAGGGCAUUCACUACCCCCAGGGAGAGAACCCCUCUUAAUGGGUUAAUGGCACUGGUCAUUAGGAAUUGGUUCCGAUUUCAAUUAGGGUUGAAAACUGUUUUCAAGCACGGCAAAAUGCUUCCCACUGCUCUUGACUCCAAUAAUGGAGUGGAUCUAAAAGCAUCCCCCUGCCCGUGAAAACUAAUGCCUGGUACAGUUACUCCAGCAAAAAAUGUCAGCUUCCUCUGCUUCCAAGGAAGCGUAAUUGAAUUAUCAUAUACAGCAGUCAUCACUGGUACCUUUGCCACCAUAGCCCACAACAGCCACGUUGGGGGGUUCAGGUUUCUAACGAAGUCCCAUACUGGAAUGAAAAUCUAAGCGAGCCUGCCCUCCCCAACAUGUCCUGAAUACACGGACCUUUGAGGGUUUUUUUUUUUUUUUUUUUUUAUAUGCUCGUAUCAGCGCGUAUCCAGUUGUGGAAGUGAUUCAUGAGUAAGGAAACCUCAGAUUUUUGUUUCAAAGAAACCACAACUUCAUGUAAACCGUAUUACUCACAAUGUCCAAGAUCCCUUUAAGGAUUCUGCCCCUCAGAAGAUUUUGUUUUUAAAAAUGUGGUCCUACUAUUUGGGUUUAAUAAAAAAAAAAAAGGAAGAUAUAAAAUGAAGACAAGGCCAUCUGGAGAUGCAUCAUCUCUGAUGAGGCAAAUCUCUCUGCCCUUCCAGCUCUGAAACCCUGUAGGCAUAGAGCACAACAUGCACAUAAUGGGCAGGGCAUGGCUAGCUAGGCUGGCACCUUCCUUUACCCAAGGGUUCCCUGUCCAGGUCCUGGACCCUCACCCAUGAAGGGCAGAUUGGGUCAAAUGCAUCCAUUAGAGUUGGAGGGCUGGCUGUCCUUCAUCUCUAAAUACCCUCUGAAUGAAUGGGAGAUCAGAGGGGUAAUGGGCUGGUUUUGGCCACAGCCAAGACUUGCUGGUGAUGGCAGGUAAAGCAUUUUGAAGAGGUCCUUGGUUUCUUUUGGGUAAACGCACACACCCGCAACUGGCUAAUUCAGUCCAUUAUGAAUACUCCUGGCUUCUUUGCUGGCACCAUGCUUUCACAUAUCAGCAUCCAUAAGGCACGCUCUCCAUCCCCUCCAGUUGGCUGGGCAACUCCAUCCCAUCCUGCUCAACAGCAACUGCCAUUACUCAGGCCUUCAUCACCUCUCAGCCAAACAACCACAGUACCACGGAGCUGGACAGGGACCCUCGGUGCUGAUGCUGCUCCAACCAGUCCACAGCCACCUCCACAAUGCAGACUACUGUGAGUGUGUCAAACCUGCCCUUUGCACUGGUGACCUGCUGACUUUCUCUUCAAGUUCAAGAUCUCAGUCUCUAUAGCCUGGGUUCACGCCAUCUAUAAGCCUGCCAGGAUAAAGACUACAGCAAAGGCCGUACUUUCUCUGGAGCUGGUCCCAGGCUGCAAGGAACUCCCUCAGCAAUGAAAGACCAUCAGAAACCUCACCGCCUUCCACUAGGACCUCAGCACAAGGUGCCUCUCUCUGACCUUGCCUCCUCUCAUAUAAAUAGCAGCAAUUAAAAAAAAAAAAAAUAUAUAUAUAUAACCUCUUCUGAAACGAGACACCCCAUCGCACAGGUUUCUCUCCCUGGGGACAAGAGUACAAACAACACGUGAGGGAGGUUAGUGGAGUCGCUACUGAAGGUGCUGGCAUGCCAGGAUGAGUGGGAUACAAGAACCUGCGCAGUAGAAAACCACUGUGUUUCCAGGAAGGAAAGGAGGGAGCUGGGAAGUUGUGUACAGACAAACCUCUCUGCAGUGGGAUGAAAGCAUGAGAGGCUAAAGCUGCUAUUUGCAUGGAUCUUGGGGAGAGGAAGGGAUCUGUUCUCUGGGUUGGACCCCUUUAUUGAGGGAAGGAUGCAGCCCUCUCUCCACCCUGGAGUGCCAAGGGGCGAUAAGGCUUGAAAGGCUUGCAAGGAAGGUACAUCAUAGCUUCCUGCUCUUAACCACGAAUCUGGGCCUCCAGGGAGCCAGCUUAAUCCAGAUGCAACCUGGCACCCCCUGAGAGACUUCACGCUGUUCCCAAGCCUGCGCAUUCCCUCCCAAAUCCCCUGUGCAGCUCCCAUAUGCCCUUCCUAAGGCCCCAAAGCCAAGCCCCUGCCAUCUCCUCCCAGUGCAAACAAAAGGAUCAAACUGAAGACUGCUGAAUCUCCCUGCAACCCAAGAACUCCAGGCUAAGUCUGCUGGAGCAGCACCUCCCACAAGGUCGAGAAAUCCCAACAAUACAGGGCAAAAGAGGUGGGGAGCUAAAAAACCUGUUUUUAUUGAAGCACAGAGGAGCUGCUUGUUGGGGAAGGGGAUGCACCAGGCUGCCCUAUUAACCCAGGGCCAGCUUUGAAGACUUCCAAGGCAAGCAAUUAGUGAGGCCAGCCCCCCUGAGACCUACCGGAUAAAAGGAAGUGAUAAAAAGGGGCGAAAGGAAGGACAGCACCACCAGCCCUUUGAAGAUCUCUGGCCUGCAGGGGAUAAUAACCCCCCCUCAUCCCAAUGGCUGCAUGUCAGGGGUCAGGUCCAACUCCCCCCCUGGAGGGGAAGGAGUGGGUGAGGGAGGACCUCUCUGAAAGUUUCCAGUGAAUCAAGGUCGGGGGUAGCAGCCUCUGGUCUCCCUGCAGUCUGGGCUUGCAAUGGAAGGGAGCCCCAGCUUGGGCAAGGGGAGGAAGGGGUUGAUGCCCCCCUCCAGCCUGCUGCCAGGAGCUGUCCCUGGGGAGAGAGGUGCCUACCUCCUAACCCCCCGCCCCCAACCACUUCCUCUGCUUGCUAUGCACCAAGCCAGCCCUGCCAGCUCCUGCCAUUUCAAAAUAAACCCUUUGCACCUUCAUCAGGGCCCAGAAGACCAUUGCCCGCCCCGUGCCAUUUACAACCCACCCCCUUCUACCCACAGAGAGGCAAAGUGGGGUGCAAGCCCCCCCCAGCAAGGCACCUACAUGACAGCCCUCCAGUGCCCCCCUCGCUGGGAAGGGAAGCAAU